UUAAGCGACUAAGCGUACACGGUGGAUGCCCUGGCAGUCAGAGGCGAUGAAGGACGUGCUAAUCUGCGAUAAGCGUCGGUAAGGUGAUAUGAACCGUUAUAACCGGCGAUUUCCGAAUGGGGAAACCCAGUGUGUUUCGACACACUAUCAUUAACUGAAUCCAUAGGUUAAUGAGGCGAACCGGGGGAACUGAAACAUCUAAGUACCCCGAGGAAAAGAAAUCAACCGAGAUUCCCCCAGUAGCGGCGAGCGAACGGGGAGGAGCCCAGAGCCUGAAUCAGUGUGUGUGUUAGUGGAAGCGUCUGGAAAGGCGCGCGAUACAGGGUGACAGCCCCGUACACAAAAAUGCACAUACUGUGAGCUCGAUGAGUAGGGCGGGACACGUGGUAUCCUGUCUGAAUAUGGGGGGACCAUCCUCCAAGGCUAAAUACUCCUGACUGACCGAUAGUGAACCAGUACCGUGAGGGAAAGGCGAAAAGAACCCCGGCGAGGGGAGUGAAAAAGAACCUGAAACCGUGUACGUACAAGCAGUGGGAGCACGCUUCGGCGUGUGACUGCGUACCUUUUGUAUAAUGGGUCAGCGACUUAUAUUCUGUAGCAAGGUUAACCGAAUAGGGGAGCCGAAGGGAAACCGAGUCUUAACUGGGCGUUAAGUUGCAGGGUAUAGACCCGAAACCCGGUGAUCUAGCCAUGGGCAGGUUGAAGGUUGGGUAACACUAACUGGAGGACCGAACCGACUAAUGUUGAAAAAUUAGCGGAUGACUUGUGGCUGGGGGUGAAAGGCCAAUCAAACCGGGAGAUAGCUGGUUCUCCCCGAAAGCUAUUUAGGUAGCGCCUCGUGAAUUCAUCUCCGGGGGUAGAGCACUGUUUCGGCAAGGGGGUCAUCCCGACUUACCAACCCGAUGCAAACUGCGAAUACCGGAGAAUGUUAUCACGGGAGACACACGGCGGGUGCUAACGUCCGUCGUGAAGAGGGAAACAACCCAGACCGCCAGCUAAGGUCCCAAAGUCAUGGUUAAGUGGGAAACGAUGUGGGAAGGCCCAGACAGCCAGGAUGUUGGCUUAGAAGCAGCCAUCAUUUAAAGAAAGCGUAAUAGCUCACUGGUCGAGUCGGCCUGCGCGGAAGAUGUAACGGGGCUAAACCAUGCACCGAAGCUGCGGCAGCGACACUAUGUGUUGUUGGGUAGGGGAGCGUUCUGUAAGCCUGUGAAGGUGUACUGUGAGGUAUGCUGGAGGUAUCAGAAGUGCGAAUGCUGACAUAAGUAACGAUAAAGCGGGUGAAAAGCCCGCUCGCCGGAAGACCAAGGGUUCCUGUCCAACGUUAAUCGGGGCAGGGUGAGUCGACCCCUAAGGCGAGGCCGAAAGGCGUAGUCGAUGGGAAACAGGUUAAUAUUCCUGUACUUGGUGUUACUGCGAAGGGGGGACGGAGAAGGCUAUGUUGGCCGGGCGACGGUUGUCCCGGUUUAAGCGUGUAGGCUGGUUUUCCAGGCAAAUCCGGAAAAUCAAGGCUGAGGCGUGAUGACGAGGCACUACGGUGCUGAAGCAACAAAUGCCCUGCUUCCAGGAAAAGCCUCUAAGCAUCAGGUAACAUCAAAUCGUACCCCAAACCGACACAGGUGGUCAGGUAGAGAAUACCAAGGCGCUUGAGAGAACUCGGGUGAAGGAACUAGGCAAAAUGGUGCCGUAACUUCGGGAGAAGGCACGCUGAUAUGUAGGUGAAGUCCCUCGCGGAUGGAGCUGAAAUCAGUCGAAGAUACCAGCUGGCUGCAACUGUUUAUUAAAAACACAGCACUGUGCAAACACGAAAGUGGACGUAUACGGUGUGACGCCUGCCCGGUGCCGGAAGGUUAAUUGAUGGGGUCAGCGCAAGCGAAGCUCUUGAUCGAAGCCCCGGUAAACGGCGGCCGUAACUAUAACGGUCCUAAGGUAGCGAAAUUCCUUGUCGGGUAAGUUCCGACCUGCACGAAUGGCGUAAUGAUGGCCAGGCUGUCUCCACCCGAGACUCAGUGAAAUUGAACUCGCUGUGAAGAUGCAGUGUACCCGCGGCAAGACGGAAAGACCCCGUGAACCUUUACUAUAGCUUGACACUGAACAUUGAGCCUUGAUGUGUAGGAUAGGUGGGAGGCUUUGAAGUGUGGACGCCAGUCUGCAUGGAGCCGACCUUGAAAUACCACCCUUUAAUGUUUGAUGUUCUAACGUUGACCCGUGAUCCGGGUUGCGGACAGUGUCUGGUGGGUAGUUUGACUGGGGCGGUCUCCUCCUAAAGAGUAACGGAGGAGCACGAAGGUUGGCUAAUCCUGGUCGGACAUCAGGAGGUUAGUGCAAUGGCAUAAGCCAGCUUGACUGCGAGCGUGACGGCGCGAGCAGGUGCGAAAGCAGGUCAUAGUGAUCCGGUGGUUCUGAAUGGAAGGGCCAUCGCUCAACGGAUAAAAGGUACUCCGGGGAUAACAGGCUGAUACCGCCCAAGAGUUCAUAUCGACGGCGGUGUUUGGCACCUCGAUGUCGGCUCAUCACAUCCUGGGGCUGAAGUAGGUCCCAAGGGUAUGGCUGUUCGCCAUUUAAAGUGGUACGCGAGCUGGGUUUAGAACGUCGUGAGACAGUUCGGUCCCUAUCUGCCGUGGGCGCUGGAGAACUGAGGGGGGCUGCUCCUAGUACGAGAGGACCGGAGUGGACGCAUCACUGGUGUUCGGGUUGUCAUGCCAAUGGCACUGCCCGGUAGCUAAAUGCGGAAGAGAUAAGUGCUGAAAGCAUCUAAGCACGAAACUUGCCCCGAGAUGAGUUCUCCCUGACUCCUUGAGAGUCCUGAAGGAACGUUGAAGACGACGACGUUGAUAGGCCGGGUGUGUAAGCGCAGCGAUGCGUUGAGCUAACCGGUACUAAUGAACCGUGAGGCUUAACCU
rnacentral:rRNA from 1 species